AGAGCAUACGGCGGAUGCCUUGGCGAUAUCUGCCGACGAAGGACGCGACAAGCUGCGAUAAGUCACGGGGAGGUGCAAAUAACCGUUGAUCCGUGAAUUUCCGAAUGGAGCAAUCCGGCUGUGGUCAUGCACAGUCACCCAUGCCAUUGAGUAUGGGAGGGAACCGGGCGAACUGAAACAUCUAAGUAGCCCGAGGAGAAGAAAUCAAACGAGAUACCCCAAGUAGCGGCGAGCGAACGGGGCAGAAGCCCAAACCGGAGAAGGAAACUUUUCCGGGGUUGAGGACCGUCAGACGAUAAGGAAGCCCAGCCGAAUCCCCUGGGAAGGGGAGCCGGAGAAUGUGAAAGCCAUGUAGGCGAAGGGCGGAUAAGGACAGACGGCACCAGAGUACCGCGGGACACGAGAAACCCCGUGGGAAGCCGGGGGGACCACCCUCCAAGGCAAAACACAGAUAUCGACCGAUAGCGCAUAGUACCAUGACGGAAAGGUGAAAAGCACCCCGGGAGGGGAGUGAAAUAGAACCUGAAACCGUAUGUUUACAAGCAGUCGGAGACCGUAUAUAUACCAGGUCGACGGCGUGCCUAUUGAAGAAUGAACCGGCGAGUUAUGAGGUCCAGCAAGGUUAAGCAGGAAAUGCGGAGCAGAAGCGAAAGAGGGUCUUAAUAGGGCGAUAAGUUGGAUUGCAUAGACCCGAAACCACAGUGAUCUACCCAUGUCCAGGCUGAAACACAGGUAAAAAUGUGCGGAGGGCCGAACCUAUAUCCGUUGAAAAGGGUUAGGAUGAGGUGUGGGUAGGGGUGAAAUUCCAAUCGAACGUGGAGAUAGCUGGUUCUCCCCGAAAUAGCUUUAGGGCUAGCCUCGAGGUAGAGAUUGCAGGCGGUAGAGCACUGAUCAGGAGAGGGACCUACCCGGUUACCAAACCCAGUCAAACUGCAAAUGGCUGCAAUUAUACUCGGGAGUCAGACUACGACUUAUAAGGGCCGUGGUCAAAAGGGAAACAGCCCAGAUCAUCAGCUAAGGUCCCAAAUGCCGUGCUAAGUGGCGAAGGAUGUGGCGUUUCAUAAACAACCAGGAUGUUGGCUCAGAAGCAGCCACCAUUUAAAGAGUGCGUAAUAGCUCACUGGUCGAGAGACGCUGCGCCGAAAAUGUCCGGGGCUCAAGCACGGAACCGAAGCUAUGGCAUGACAGCAAUGUCAUGGGUAGGGGAGCGUUCUUAUAAGGAAGAAGCAUUACCGUAAGGAGAUGUGGACAUAUAAGAAGUGAGAAUGCCGGUAUGAGUAUCGAAAAGAAAGGUGAGAAUCCUUUCCACCGAAAGCCCGAGGGUUCCUGAGCAACGAUCGUCGACUCAGGGUAAGUCGGGACCUAAGCCGAGGCGGAGACGCAUAGGCGAUGGACAACAGGUUGAAAUUCCUGUACCGGAUGGAGUCAUUUGAGCGAAGGAGCGACGCAGGAGGGCACAUGAUCGCGCGGCUGGAAGAGCGCGUCCAAGUGCGUAUGCGUAGAGGGAGGCAAAUCCCCCUUUACAGAAGCAGAGACAUGAUGGGGAGUUAAAGGAGACUUUGACGAACUCAUGGAUCCCACACUGCCAAGAAAAACUUCUAGCGAGACGAAAUCCGCCCGUACCGUAAACCGACACAGGUAGGUGAGGAGAGAAUCCUAAGGUGCGCGGGAGAACCCUCGUUAAGGAACUCGGCAAAUUGCAUCCGUAACUUCGGGAGAAGGAUGACCCUGAGUAGGCGAAAGGGAGAAACCCCCGGAACAGAAAAGGGUGGCAGAAAAGAGGCCCAAGCAACUGUUUACCAAAAACACAGGUGCCUGCGAAAGCGAAAGCUGAAGUAUAGGUGCUGACGCCUGCCCGGUGCUGGAAGGUUAAGGAGAGAGGUCAGCGAAAGCGAAGCUUUGAACUGAAGCCCCAGUGAACGGCGGCCGUAACUAUAACGGUCCUAAGGUAGCGAAAUUCCUUGUCGGGUAAGUUCCGACCCGCAUGAAAGGCGUAAUGAUUUGGGCACUGUCUCAACGAGGGGCCCGGUGAAAUUGAAAUACCUGUGAAGAUGCAGGUUACCCGCGACUGGACAGAAAGACCCCAUGGAGCUUCACUGCAGCUUGAGAUUGAAUCCCGGUGACAUAUGCACAGGAUAGGUGGGAGGCUAAGAAGUAAUGCCUUUGGGUGUUACAGAGCCGAUGUUGGGAUACCACCCUUAUGUUGCUGAGAUUCUAACACGGAGACUAACAACCUCGUGGACCAUCUCAGGCAGGCGGUUUGACUGGGGCGGUCGCCUCCUAAAAUGUAACGGAGGCGCCCAAAGGUUCCCUGGCAUAUAAAUCGAGACUUAUAUCUAAAUUUGUCACAUCAGUAUUAAUUAAAUUUUAUAUCAUGAAUAGACAACUGACUCUUUUCUUUUUUUUCCUUGCCAUGGCAUUGGGCGCACAGGCGCAAAAGUCCGGAGAAUAUUACGUAAAGCACAUUGAGUUUCCUCAAAAUGCCACUAUCGAGCAAAAGGUGGACAUGGCUGCGCGUCUCGUGCCCACUCCCCAGCAAUACGCUUGGCAGCAGAUGGAACUGACAGCUUUUCUCCAUUUUGGAAUCAACACUUUUACCGGACGCGAAUGGGGAGACGGAAAAGAAGACCCAGCACUCUUCAAUCCCUCGGAACUGGAUGCCGAACAAUGGGUGCGCAGCCUCAAAGAAGCCGGCUUUAAGAUGGUGCUUCUGACAGCGAAGCAUCACGACGGCUUUUGU
rnacentral:rRNA from 1 species